rnacentral:lncRNA from 1 species
CGUCGAGAGUCGUGAAAGCCCAAAUUUUAAAUAAAAUUAAAAGGAAAAUUAGUACUUGGUCUUCAGUGGGCUUGUCUCUCCAACCAACAAAUAUUGAGUUUUCUUCGACGAUUAACAUCAAGUGGGACUGGGGUCCCUGUGGGGCUCCCACAUCAGCAGGAUUCAACAACUGGUGUUGAAAUAGAAUCUUCGACCAGUUCCUCCACCAACCUCCAUUCUUGGGUCUUCAGUCUAGGAUUUCUUGAGGACAUGCACCCAUACUACACAAGGUGUCGGCCACUUGCAUCAAAUGCCUUGUUGUGAAUAUAUUAUUAUGCUUUUACAUG